rnacentral:misc_RNA from 1 species
GAUGAAGAACGCAGCGAAAUGCUAUAAGUAAUGUGAAUUGCAGAAUUCAGUGAAUCAUCGAAUCUUUGAACGCACAUUGCGCCCCCUGGUAUUCCGGGGGGCAUGCCUGUUCGAGCGUCAUUUCACCACUCAAGCCUCGCUUGGUAUUGGGCAACGCGGUCCGCCGCGUGCCUCAAAUCGACCGGCUGGGUCUUCUGUCCCCUAAGCGUUGUGGAAACUAUUCGCUAAAGGGUGUUCGGGAGGCUACGCCGUAAAACAACCCCAUUUCUAAGGUUGACCUCGGAUCAGGUAGGGAUACCCGCUGAACUUAAGCAUAUCAUAAGCGGAGGA